GUGUCAGCCGCCGCGGUAAUACGUAGGGGGCAAGCGUUGUCCGGAUUUAUUGGGCGUAAAGAGCUCGUAGGCGGUUCGACAAGCCGACGGUGAAAUCUCCACGCUCAACGUGGAGGGGUCCGUCGGAACUGUCGUGACUAGAGUCCGGUAGGGGAGUGUGGAAUUUCCGGUGUAGCGGUGAAAUGCGCAGAGAUCGGAAGGAACACCCGUAGCGAAGGCGGCACUCUGGGCCGGUACUGACGCUGAGGAGCGAAAGCGUGGGGAGCAAACAGGAUUAGAUACCCUGGUAGUCCACGCCGUAAACGUUGGGCACUAGGUGUGGGGCUCUAUCAACGGGCUCCGUGCCGUAGCUAACGCAUUAAGUGCCCCGCCUGGGGAGUACGGCCGCAAGGCUAAA
rnacentral:rRNA from 1 species